rnacentral:rRNA from 1 species
ACGUAGGGAGCAAGCGUUAUCCGGAUUUACUGGGUGUAAAGGGCGAGUAGGCGGGCUGGUAAGUUGGAAGUGAAAUCUCGGGGCUUAACCCCGAAACUGCUUUCAAAACUGCUGGUCUUGAGUGAUGGAGAGGCAGGCGGAAUUCCCAGUGUAGCGGUGAAAUGCGUAGAUAUUGGGAGGAACACCAGUGGCGAAGGCGGCCUGCUGGACAUUAACUGACGCUGAGGAGCGAAAGCGUGGGGAGCAAACAGG